ACCGAAGAAGCAGACUAUCAAGUCAAGCUGCGUAAAAUUGUUGAAUUCAUUGAAGACAAAGACAAGGUCAAAGUCAGCAUUCGUUUCCGUGGUCGCGAAAUGGCACACCAAGAAAUCGGCAAGGCACAACUUGAACGCAUCAUCGCUGACACUGCCGAGAUUGCCAGCGUUGAGCAGGCACCAAAAGUUGAAGGUCGCCAGAUGGGUAUGCUACUUGGUCCAGCCAAGAAAAAAUAAACUUGCUGAGCAUCAUCAAACAAAGCACCAAGAUGAUUGGUGCUUUGUAACCACAUCAGCUAAUCAUGGAUACGCUGCUGCAUAAUCAAA
rnacentral:misc_RNA from 1 species